CGUCAAAUCAUCAUGUCCCUUAUGUCUUGGGCAACACACGUACUACAAUGGCCAUAACAGAAAGAAGCGAAAUAGCGAUGUGGAGCAAAACUAAGAAAAAUGGCCCUAGUUCGGAUUGGAGGCUGCAACUCGCCUCCAUGAAGCUGGAAUUGCUAGUAAUCACAGGUCAGCAUACUGUGGUGAAUACGUUCCCGGGCCUU
rnacentral:rRNA from 1 species